CAGAACACCUCACACUCCACUCUAGACCGAAAUCUGCUUUCUCUUUGACGUCAAGCGGGUGGCAACAGGCGUCUGGCGACUCGAAAACACUCCCCCUGAUUGGACCGUGUCUCUUAGCCUGCGCCACGAUUGGCCAAUUUCUGGUUUCGAAGCCCUACAUUAUUCAGCUCAGGAUACCAUUUUGUUGCACACAGGUUAUGAAGAGGAAGGAGGAGGUUGAAUUCUAUGAUUUAAUUUUAGUCCGCGAGUAGUUUCACGACCGAUAUCAAAUCCAUCAUUCCCCCUUCUUAUUAUAUCACAUAUUUUUUGAAAUACAUCUUUUGUCGAAAUAUUGUGACGGAAAAGCCAGGGGGAGUCGGAUUUGGUUUGUGGGGUCCCCGUGGGCCGAGGAGAUUGAUGUAC